AUCUAUAUAAUAUAUAAAGUAUAUUUGACUUCCAAUCAUAAAGUCUACUAAUAAAGUAGUAUAGAUA
rnacentral:tRNA from 2 species